CCCUGCCAUUUGUACACACCGCCCGUCGCUCCUACCGAUUUCGAGUGAUCCGGUGAACCUUCUGGACUGCGAUAGUUUCAAGCUAUUGCGGGAAGUUAAGUAAACCACUUCACUUAGAGGAAGGAGAA
rnacentral:rRNA from 1 species